rnacentral:rRNA from 1 species
CAGCCGCCACGGUAAUACGAAGGGUGCAAGCGUUACUCGGAAUUACUGGGCGUAAAGCGUGUGUAGGUGGUUGUUUAAGUCUGUCGUGAAAGCCCUGGGCUCAACCUGGGAAUUGCGAUGGAUACUGGGCGACUAGAGUGCGGUAGAGGAUAGUGGAAUUUCCGGUGUAGCAGUGAAAUGCGUAGAGAUCGGAAGGAACAUCUGUGGCGAAGGCGACUAUCUGGGCCAACACUGACACUGAGGCACGAAAGCGUGGGGAGCAAACAGGAUUAGAUACCCGUGUAGUCCCUGUCUCUUAUAC